CAGACUUCUCAAGACCGCAGUUAACUUCAACACUCAGCAUCAUCGAUCUAAAUAUUUCACCUCAAGUUUAACAUAAAGACACACGAAGUACACUUCAAAACAUGAAAGAAUGGCAGGCACAUAACACAAUAUGCCCCUGCCAUAUUGACAAGAUUGCAGUCCCAGGAUGGUAGAGCGAGGUCAUGAUUAUUUAUCUACCCAUUCCAUGGCUAUGUUACCUCGUCGGUCUAUAUGAGGACUGUUU